rnacentral:rRNA from 1 species
UACAGAGGUCUCAAGCGUUGUUCGGAUUCAUUGGGCGUAAAGGGUGCGUAGGCGGUGAGGUAAGUCUGGUGUGAAAUCCCGGGGCUCAACCCCGGAACUGCACUGGAUACUGCCUUACUUGAGCACUGGAGAGGGAACUGGAAUUUACGGUGUAGCAGUGAAAUGCGUAGAUAUCGUAAGGAAGACCAGUGGCGAAGGCGAGUUCCUGGACAGUUGCUGACGCUGAGGCACGAAGGCCAGGGGAGCAAACGGG